UACGUAGGGUGCAAGCGUUAAUCGGAAUUACUGGGCGUAAAGCGUGCGCAGGCGGUGAUGUAAGACAGUUGUGAAAUCCCCGGGCUCAACCUGGGAAUGGCGAUGGUGACUGCAAGGCUAGAGUUUGGCAGAGGGGGGUAGAAUUCCACGUGUAGCAGUGAAAUGCGUAGAUAUGUGGAGGAACACCGAUGGCGAAGGCAGCCCCCUGGGUCAAAACUGACGCUCAUGCACGAAAGCGUGGGGAGCAAACAGG
rnacentral:rRNA from 1 species